rnacentral:rRNA from 1 species
UACAGAGGGUGCGAGCGUUGUCCGGAAUCACUGGGCGUAAAGGGCGCGUAGGCGGUGAUCUAAGCGUGCGGUGAAAGCUCGGGGCUCAACCCUGAGUCGGCCGUGCGAACUGGGUCACUGGAGCACGGUAGAGGCCAAUGGAAUUCCGGGUGUAGCGGUGGAAUGCGUAGAGAUCCGGAAGAACACCGGUGGCGAAGGCGGUUGGCUGGGCCGUAGCUGACGCUGAGGCGCGACAGCGUGGGGAGCAAACAGG